rnacentral:rRNA from 1 species
UACGUAGGGUGCAAGCGUUGUCCGGAAUUAUUGGGCGUAAAGAGCUCGUAGGCGGUCUGUCACGUCGGCUGUGAAAACCCGAGGCUCAACCUCGGGCCUGCAGUCGAUACGGGCAAACUAGAGUGUUGCAGGGGAGACUGGAAUUCCUGGUGUAGCGGUGAAAUGCGCAGAUAUCAGGAGGAACACCGGUGGCGAAGGCGAGUCUCUGGACAUUUCCUAACGCUGAGGCACGAAAGCCAGGGGAGCAAACGGG